AAGUCGUAACAAGGUUUCCGUAGGUGAACCUGCGGAAGGAUCAUUACUGAGAUAGGGUCCCUCGGGGCCCGACCUCCAACCCUUUGUGAACGAACCAAGUUGCCUCGGCGAGCCGUCGGCUCACGCCGCCUCUGGCGCGUCCCUCCCUCGCGGGGGGCCGCCUCUGCGCGCUCGCCGGUGGGAUACUACAAACUCUUCUGAAACCAGUACUCUGAGUGAAAAUUUUAAUACUUCAAAA
rnacentral:misc_RNA from 1 species